UCUAAGUAGAUUUCUAUUCAGAAAUAGUUAUAUAAUACCUGCUCACAUGUGAAAGGAAGCUUAUAGAUAAGCUGAAAGAUUGAGCAAUUCUCCUGGAGCCAGAAGAAACACACCCGUGCUCUUCUGUUGAGGAUUUAUUGAUGUUAUACCAGUUGACACUCUCAUUUUAAUUCUUAUCUAUCAUGAGAUGUUGAUUUAUUACCCCUAAUGUAUAUUAAGAAAUGGCUGUUUUGGUGAUGAUUUCCAGAUUUCCAUUUGAGUUGACCUGUUGAAAGUUAUUUGACUAAUUAUGAAGAACAAGAACCAGGACCCUAUGGUUUCUUCAUUAAGAUGAGGGGAUGGAUCUCCCCCUUAUCGUCGGGGACACCUGAGGCUUGUGGGUUACUAUCUGCCUCUCUUCAUGGUCCUGAGUGUGGGGAAGAGUUUAAGAUGUCACAAGAUGUGGUGUUUGUUUCAAUUCUGCACAGUCUACUAAAAGGAGAAUACACCUCCAUCCCUUCUAGAGACUUUAGCCGAUCCAGAAGCUGGUGUCACUCCCAUGAGUCACAACAACAAGCACUCUACCAAAAAUGCCAAGAAGGACCAGGGCAGUGUGGAUUCGUGGGGGUCUCCUCUCUUAACUGGAAGAUUCUGCACACCCUACCCUAAAGGCCACCCUAUGGGCUCCUGGGCACAUCCACCUCCUGAACCUUGGUGGCCCUGAGGAACACCCUAAACCCCUCCACCUACACCACUUGGUAAGAUGAUCUGAGCAGUAUGUGUUGAUUUGCAAAACACAUUCAUCUAAUUUUUGUUGUUGUUGAGUCUUGGACAAAGUGCAGAGGUGUUACCACUGGGCAUUAUAAUGCAAGAGAAAUGUGUCUACCGCAAUUACUACAUUCCUCAAGUGUCUCAUGAUCCCUAUCAUCUUUGUGUCAUUUCUCCCACUCUGUGUUGGUACAUAUGUCUCUUGUGGAGAUGGAAUGGGGCCAUAUACAGAAAAGCAGGCAUGGCGCUUCAGCAGAUGUGUGCCGUACACAGUCCACGUGCUGGGCGGUGGGAGGCAUGAGGCUCAGCCUAAUGUAUAUCUAUCCAGUUGAGCCCUCACUCAUCCACAGUUGUUUGAUGAGUCAUGAAAGCAUCUGAACCAGGGCUAUAACAGGUCUUCAUCAAAGUUUAAGGGAUGGUUCUCCCCUUCACCUUGGGAUCGCCUGAAGCAUGUGGGAUACCCUCUGCAUGUGAUUUGGGAUGUGACUGGGCCAAAGAGUUUAAGUUGUUUGAGGAAUGAGGUGAUGGUUUUUGUUUUUAGUUUUUUGUAGUUUUUUUUUUUUUUUUUUUUUUUUUUUUGUCUCUGCACAAUCUACUCCAAUCAAAAUAAACCUCCAUCCCUUCUCGGGUCUUUUGCA
rnacentral:lncRNA from 1 species